rnacentral:rRNA from 1 species
UACGGAGGGUGCAAGCGUUAAUCGGAAUUACUGGGCGUAAAGCGCACGCAGGUGGCUGAGCGAGUCGAUUGUGAAAGCCCUGGGCUUAACCUGGGAAUUGCAGUCGAUACUACUCAGCUAGAGUAUGGGAGAGGGUAGUGGAAUUCCCGGUGUAGCGGUGAAAUGCGUAGAUAUCGGGAGGAACAUCAGUGGCGAAGGCGACUACCUGGCCUGUUUCUUGACGCUGAGGCGCGAAAGCUAGGGGAGCAAACGGG